rnacentral:rRNA from 1 species
UGCAAGUCGAACGCGUUGGCCCAAUUGAUWAGRKGGUGCUUGCACCUGAUGAUWUAGGUCGCCAACGAGUGGCGGACGGGUGAGUAACACSUAGGWAACCUGCCCAGAAGCGGGGGACAACAUUUGGAAACAGAUGCUAAUACCGCAUAACAACGUUGUUCGCAUGAMCAACGCUUAAAAGAUGGCUUCUCGCUAUCACUUCUGGAUGGACCUGCGGUGCAUUAGCUUGUUGGUGGGGUAACGGCCUACCAAGGCGAUGAUGCAUAGCCGAGUUGAGAGACUGAUCGGCCACAAUGGGACUGAGACACGGCCCAUACUCCUACGGGAGGCAGCAGUAGGGAAUCUUCCACAAUGGGCGCAAGCCUGAUGGAGCAACACCGCGUGAGUGAAGAAGGGUUUCGGCUCGUAAAKYUCUGUUKUUAAAGAAGAACACGUAUGAGAGUAACUGUUCAUACGUUGACGGUAUUUAACCAGAAAGUCACGGCUAACUACGUGCCAGCWGYCGYGGUAAUACGUAGGUGGCAAGCGUUAUCCGGAUUUAUUGGGCGUAAAGAGAGUGCAGGCGGUUUUCUAAGUCUGAUGUGAAAGCCU